rnacentral:tRNA from 1 species
ACCUGGGUGGCUCAGUCAGUUAAGGGUCUGACUUCUGUUCAGGUCAUGAGCUCACUGUUGGUGGGUUUGAACCCCACCUCAGGCU